rnacentral:rRNA from 1 species
UCCUACGGGAGGCAGCAGUGGGGAAUAUUGCACAAUGGGGGAAACCCUGAUGCAGCAUGCCGCGUGUGUGAAGAAGGCCUUCGGGUUGUAAAGCACUUUCAGUAGGGAGGAAGGUAGUGUAGUUAACACCUGCAUUAUUUGACGUUACCUACAGAAGAAGCACCGGCUAACUCCGUGCCAGCAGCCGCGGUAAUACGGAGGGUGCGAGCGUUAAUCGGAAUUACUGGGCGUAAAGCGCAUGCAGGCGGCCUGUUAAGUCAGAUGUGAAAGCCCGGGGCUUAACCUCGGAAUUGCAUUUGAAACUGGCAGGCUAGAGUCUUGUAGAGGGGGUAGAAUUUCAGGUGUAGCGGUGAAAUGCGUAGAGAUCUGAAGGAAUACCAGUGGCGAAGGCGGCCCCCUGGACAAAGACUGACGCUCAGAUGCGAAAGCGUGGGGAGCAAACAGGAUUAGAUACCCUGGUAG